UACGUAGGGGGCAAGCGUUGUCCGGAAUCAUUGGGCGUAAAGAGCGUGUAGGCGGCUUGGUAAGUCCGCUGUGAAAGUCCAGGGCUCAACCCUGGAAUGCCGGUGGAAACUGUCAAGCUUGAGUCCGGAAGAGGCGAGUGGAAUUCCUGGUGUAGCGGUGAAAUGCGCAGAUAUCAGGAGGAACACCAAUGGCGAAGGCAGCUCGCUGGGACGGUACUGACGCUGAGGCACGAAAGCUAGGGGAGCAAACAGG
rnacentral:rRNA from 1 species